UCCCAUCAGUAGUUUUUUCACUGAUUGCGGUCGUUAGUACUGAUCAGGCAGUCACCCUCCUCUUUGGUGUACAGAGUUGUUGACACAAAAUCCUAUUUCCUCUGCACUGAGGUCGGGCCAAUGCGACAUCUAGUUGUUAUAUGAUCUGUGGAUUCGCCGUUCUUGCAUCAAGUUCUCCACUCAGGCUCACCCAUACUUAUCUCUCUCGGCCUCUCGCCGGCCCAUAGUCAUGGAGUACCUCAGUAGUGGAGUGUAAAGCCCGGUCGAAGGUCGAACGUCAUCUAGCGAGGUUUUGUAGAGCUAUGCGUUACCUCCUGAUCAGAUGUACUCCCGCUAAGAGAGUGCUUAAUGUGCUCAAUGAGUUCUACUGAUGGGAAAAAGGUAAGUGGCAAGUCAUCACAGACACCCAAGUUUUACUUGUUUACUAGCUACCGUUGGGUUUACUCAACCCAAACAGGGAUCCCCUGCUAAAGUAGGGGGCCCAUAACACCGGGGUUGUGAGCAAUCCAGCUACAGUGGCCCAAGGUAUUUCGCAAGCAUUUAAAGAGUCCUCCUCAGUGCAGAGUAGGAGAGGAGGCCUCAAGACCCCGUGGUUCAGCGCCUAGCAUUGAGAGCUAAGGGGUCAAAUGCUCCAAAAACUGCGUAGUCCCAAAGCAAGCCAAACACCGGAGACUUGGGAGCAAUAUGCAAUAUCAAGAAUUGCAUAUCCCAAGUCUCUGAGGAGCGCCGAAUCAGCCCAUCAAAGGUUGGAAGUGGAGAACCUACUCUUUUCAUCUACAAACGUGCCAAAAAGCCCGCCACCAACCCGGAGAUUCCCGUGAGUAAAUUCCUCCUCCACUGUCAAGAACUGUUUGCAUCAACAUCAGAAACAGUAGUGGAGGAGGUCCAGGGCUGCCCAGAACCCGAGAUGGACGUGGCCUUCAAGAAGAUGAAGAGUAAAGCCCCUUAACAUCUGGGGUCUCUCCUGUCCAACUUUCACUUCUCUGGACCCAAGCCCAGUCAUUCCUUCAAGAUCUUUUCAGCCUCGCCCUCCAUUCUUCCUUCUUUCCACCAGCGUGGAUGGAGUCAGCCAUCAUCUUCAUCCAUAAGAAGGGGCCCAGGGACAUUCCAAACAACCAUCAGACCAUUGCCCUGGAGAACCCCUUCUUGAAGAUGAUGUCCACCCUACUAACUGCCCGCUUCUUCAGAUUGGCCGAGGAUAGGGAUCUCCUUCCCCAGUUCCAAUUCGGUUUCUGGAGAAGACACUCAACCAUCAUGGCAGCUACUCUCUUCUAUGAAAUUGUGCAUUCCAACAUCAGCAACAAGAGGAGAGUGUAUGGAUGCUUUGUUGAUUUCUCCAAAGCAUUUGACAGGGUGGACCAAAUUCGGUUAUUCCUCAAACUCCAACUAUGGGGAGUUCUGCGUUCAAUCUGUGUCCUGUUGUCCAACAUCUAUGCAGGACUCAGAUGCUCCAUUCAAUCUGUCUUUAUGUAUCCGACCUGCCCACUGCCCUCACCCACUGAGGCUCCACCAUCAACCAUUUUCCAGUUCAAUAUCAUCAAUAUGCAGACAAUCUGGUUCUCUUGACUAAUUCAGGUGUGGAAUUGCAAAAUGCCAUCAAUGCACUCCACGGCAAUUGCCAAGAGAACGGCCUUCAAGUCAACACCAUCGAGACGAAGGCCAUGGUUUUCCAUAAAGGUCUUCUGCCUCCCACCUCCUUCCAUAUUAGCAAUAGUCCGAUUGAAAUUGUGGAUGAUUUUAAUUAUGUCAAUUUCACAUUCUCAACUCAACUCUCCUUCACCAAUCAUCUCAAAUCAUCAAUAGUCAAAGCCAGGGCCAAGGUCGGAUACAUUUGCAAUAGACUUCCUAUCAAGAAUCUUCCCCUUGCAAUAGUUCUUCAACUCAUCCAGACUUACAUCACUCCAAUUUUCCUCUACGACCUUCACCUUUGGCUCCCAAACUCCGCCCAAUCCGCCCUCAAAUCCGCUGAUGCCACCUUCAUCAAGUUCCUCAAACAAUACUUGUGCAUGCCCCAAUUUGCCAACAAUGCAUGGACGCAUUUCCUAUGCAAAACUGAGCCCCUCACCAUCAGGCAGGCAAGGUUAGUGUCCAACAGUGUUGGGAAGCUGACCUUUCCCGAGCUGAUGUCCAGACACAAGUUGUCCUUUCUGGUCAAGGACUUGCUAACACCUUAUUGUCCUUGGCCCGACAUCCCCUUGCAGUAUUGGCAAUCACGCACCUUUGUUCGGCUCCCGGCCAAAUGCCAUCAAUGACGGGGGCUGACAAAGGAUCUGUUCAAUCUGGCCCAUCCUCAACUCUGCAAUAACCAAGAAUUUCAUAAUUUACCUUUACCUAACUGUGUUUGUACUGUCUGUGAUUCCCCUCUUCCCUCUUUUCAUGUGCAUUAAACCAAUUCUAGUCAUACUCUUUGUGAUAUCACUUUCUAGUCAACUAUUUUAUUGCCUUUACCUUCUUGACAUUUUCCUUGUUUUAUCAACAAACUCUGUAUAAUGUUUAUACAUCAUGUUUUAUUUUAUAGUUAUUUUUACGCCAUGAUAUGAUCAAGAGUCGCAAUAAAGAUUAUUAUUAUGAA